rnacentral:rRNA from 1 species
CAGUAUUAUAUGCUGAUGUUAAAGAUUAAGCCAUGCAUGUGUAAGUUUAAAGUCCAAGUAGGAUGAAACUGCGGACGGCUCAUUAUAACAGUAAUAGUUUCUUUGGUUAGUAAAUAUAAGGAUAACUUUGUGAAUGAUAAAGCUAAUACUUGAGACGAUCCGGGUUGUAGCAAUACAAUUCGGCCAAACCUCGCAAGAGGUGAGAUAAUGAUACUCUUUAUGAAUAGGGGUACCACGACAAUUGUAGAACACACAGUGUUUAACAAGUAACCAAUGAGAAUUUCUGAUCUAUCAAUUUGUUGGUAGUAUCGAGGACUACCAAGAUUAUAACGGAUAACGAGGAAUAUGGGUUCGACAUCGGAGAGGGAGCUUUACAGAUGGCUACCACUUCCAAGGAAGGCAGCAGGCGCGUAAAUUACCCACUUUCAACGCGAAGAGGUAGUGACGACAAAUAACUCUUGAGGUGCCAUUGGUACUUCUUGAAGGAAUGAAUUAGAACUAAAUCUUCUAAUGAAAUCAAUUGGAGGGCAAGUCUGGUGCCAGCAGCCGCGGUAAUUCCAGCUCCAAUAGUGUAUAUUAAAGUUGCUGUGAUUAAAACGCUCGUAGUUGAAUUAUAAUGUGGUAUUUUUUAGUGGAAAGACGUAGUCUGGAAGCUAAAAGCUAUGGUAUCACUGAAGGCGAUAAGUAGCAAUACUUAUCAUUACUUUGAAAAAAAUAGAGUGUUUCAAGCAAAUCAUUUCGAUAAUGAAUAAUGAAGCAUGGGACAAUAUUGAAGAGACAGCUUUCGGGCUGUUGCAAGAGAAGGAUUAAGAGGAAUAAUUGGGGUGAUUCAGAAAAUAACGGGAGAGGUAAAAUUCCAUGAUCGCUAUAAGAUGAACGAGAGCGAAAGCAUUUCACUCAAUUAUGUCCAUUAAUCAAGAACGAAAGUUAGGGGAUCGAAGACGAUCAGAUACCGUCGUAGUCCUAACUAUAAACGAUGUCAACCAAGGAUUGGAUAAAUUACAAACAGGAAGUUGAAGGGAUCAUUGAUCUUGGAAACUUUUCUGUUAAAAUUACCUUAUUCAGAACUUAAAGAGAAAUCUUGAGUUUAUGGACUUCAGGGGGAGUAUGGUCACAAGGCUGAAACUUAAAGGAAUUGACGGAAGGGCACACCAGGAGUGGAGCCUGCGGCUUAAUUUGACUCAACACGGGAAAACUUACCAAGACCGAACAGUAGUAGGAAUGACAGAUUAAUGGUUCUUUCAUGAUUUAUUGGGUAGUGGUGCAUGGCCGUUCUUAGUUGGUGGAGUGAUUUGUCAGGUUAAUUCCGGUAACGAACGAGACUGAAACCUAUUAAUUAGUUGCUUACCUAUACGAUAAGCAUGUAGCAAUACAGCUGCUCGCAGCACUUCUUAAAGGGACACAUUUCAAUUGUCUCAUUCUAUUCUGUGUCAGGUACUUCGGUAUCUACCUCUAUAGAAGGAGAAAAAGAAAAAGGAAGCAUUCAGCAAUAACAGGUCUGUGAUGCCCUUAGACAUCUUGGGCCGCACGCGCGCUACAAUGGAGUUACUAGAGAGUAUUUAGGUAGUAGGUCCCUUUUUGAGGCUUCGGUUUCAGGGAGGAUCAACCUAUUAUCAUAGCAAGUCUGAAAUAGAUUAGCAAAACUCAAAAGAACGUACUUGACAGGGAUAAAUGAUUGGAAUUAUUUGUUUUGAACGAGGAAUUCCUUGUAAUAUCGAGUCAUUAACUCGAGAUGAAUACGUCCCUGCCCUUUGUACACACCGCCCGUCGCUCCUACCGAUUGAAUAAAGAGGUGAAAUUCUAGGAUCUUGCUGGUAACAGCGAGAAAAUGGAUUUAAAUCUCCUUAUUUAGAGGAAGGAGAAGUCGUAACAACGGUU